CAGGCGCGAAACCUCCACAAUGCGCGAAAGCGUGAUGGGGUUAUCCCGAGUGCCGUCCGAUGAGGAUGGCUUUUUAUCGAUGUAAGGAUUCGAUAGAAUAAAGGGGGGGCAAGACUGGUGUCAGCCGCCGCGGUAAUACCAGCCCCCUGAGUGGUAAGGACGAUUAUUUGGCCUAAAGCGUUCGUAGCCGGCUUAUCAAGUCUUUUGUUAAAUCCAACGAUUUAAUCGUUGGGCCGCAAAAGAUACUGUUAUGCUAGAGGACGGGAGAGGUCGACGGUAGUCCAGGGGUAGGGGUGAAAUCCUAUAAUCCUUGGAGGACCACCAGUGGCGAAGGCGGUCGACUAGAACGUGCCUGACGGUGAGGGACGAAAGCUGGGGGAGCGAACCGGAUUAGAUACCCGGGUAGUCCCAGCUGUAAACGAUGCGGGCUAGGUGUUGGGGCAGCCACGAGCUGCUCCAGUGCCGCAGAGAAGUUGUUAAGCCCGCCGCCUGGGAGUACGCCGCAAGC
rnacentral:rRNA from 1 species